rnacentral:misc_RNA from 1 species
AGAUAAUUCAAUCAAAUGGAUUCAGCAACUACAUCAUUCUCUCUACCAAAAAUAAAAUCUUUUAGUCAAAUCAAAUGGCCUGGUAAAGAUCAUAGGAAUAAAUGAUUUCAGAAACAAUAAACUCAGCAAAAGCAAGCAAAGUAGGCCAAUUAAAGAAUGUCCAGAUAGAUCAUAGUAUGGUAAAGAGAAGAAAAGAAUGAAAUAGAAGAGGAAAUUUAUUAGUUGCAGACUCUGUCCAGACAAAGAAGAAAUUGAAAAAUUUUCCACUUCUCUGUUAAAACUGUACCGAAUAACAUCUCAACAAAAACAGUAGUCUUUCCAUCAAGUACCAUUGAAUGUUCCAACCUCUAAAGGACAGGACCCAAAUUGAAGGGAAUGAGUCCUUGAGCUUUUAACAUAAUCCCUGAUUCUCCAAGUAGGUUUUAUGGUCAAUGAACAUUCACACAUUAAUCCCACCAUUAAGAUAAUAACAAAAUCUGAACAAAACAUCCCAGCAAAUGGUGGAACCAUCAGAACCAAUAAGGCAUUCACAUUUUAGUGAGGAAAAGAAAAAAAUGAAAAGGUCUGAUCAAUAAUUUUUUGAGUAGGAUGAAUCACAUGCAUUAGAAUUUAUGGAAAUAUAUGUUCUAUUACUUUUGUUUUAGCAAUUUCAAGUUUAGGCUCCUAUCUAAGUUGACGAGUAUUUUGAGCUUAAGUUUCA